rnacentral:lncRNA from 1 species
GUUUCUCUCUCUUCAUCCUGUUAAUACGAGCAACGACAGUAAUCACAGAAUUAUUUACAUGCUUGUUCUGGGGGUACUCAGCCAAAGAUUUUUUCCUGCUUCUCCUCUCUAGCCUUGUCGUCUUCUGCAAUCGUUUACUUUCGAAAUGCGUCAGAUUUUCUUCUCUGCUGUGCGCUGUGACACCGCCAUUUCACGUGGUUCCUGGAGACGCCUCUUCCCUUCCUUUUGUUAAGUCACGAGCGGUUGAGACUCGUGAAAAGACUCUUCGCCUAGCCGCUCUGAGAGUGUGAACCGUCAUAUGCAAAGCUGCAAGAGCAGCCAAGCAAGCAAGAAGAGUUGCACGCUGGUUUAUAUAUUGGUUUUGUUUACCGGAUCCAAGACUUAUUGUGUUUGCCUGAUUUCGAUAACAGUAUAGAUCCGACCCUAGUCCAGGGUGACUCACCGGUCUGACGGAAACGGGUACAGACUAGUGAACAUGGGCAAGGGAAGAUGAAUGCAAGGCAAAAGACGAAAGUGAUGUGGAAGACUGGAAACAGAUGUACACAAGAGAAAUCUUCAGUCCUGUCUAUUUUAGUCUCAGUUUCGUUCAGUGGAUCUUUGCGACGCACAGACGCGAACCCUUCUUCUCUGUUCGCUGUUCCCCGUUUGCCGACGAGGAAGAACUGCUAGUCCCUGAUUGCUUUCGCUCCUAGUCGUGACUGUCUGGAGACGUGUCUUUUCUUCCAAGAAGAUUAAACACUCAUUUUUGAGUUUCUGACGCGCGUUUUCGCCUCGACGGCGGCCCAUUUCCUUUUCCCCCCGUGUUCAGCGUCUUCUUCAGCACUCCUCGCACCCUCAAAGCAACACAUCGCUCGAGAGUCUUGCACCUCCUACAAAAAAGGUGUCUUCCCCGCUGCGCUAGCGGCCGCACAGGAAGACCUCGGUUUUGUGUUCCCGACUUCUCACAUGUGUGAAACACCCCCACCCACGCCCCUACUCGAUCUGCAUACGUGUAUGCAUGAAGAGUUAUUCAUAUUUGUAUAAAUAUACUUGUAUAUGCACGGUGUAUGAGUGUCAUGUGAACGGGCGCGUAGACGUCUCGGACAAGUGCUUGAUCGUGCGCAAGCGCAUUUUCUUAGUAUUCUUUGUUGAUAUCUAGAGAGCGAUUCGAGUAGAUCUCCGGAACGUCAAUGUUGGAGAGACAGGAGAGACCAAUGAUGGCAGUGACGGCGAUGAGGAAGACGACGAUAAACUGAGAGAGCAUGGUCUGAGAAAAGCACAAUGAAACAGGGGCGCAGAACGUGGCAAAAACGCGGAAACUGAGGAAAACGCACUCCUUCCACCGGAGGGAGGACAAAACCGACAUGCGUGACAAACGGAAUGAAGCCAAAAAGAGUCUCGCCGUCGGACUCUGCCGUCUAAAAGGAGAGAGGAAGACGCCGGGGACUUCGACGGAACGGCCUUUCUCGAGACACAGCGACACUCUUGAGACAGGGCGGGAACGCGCGAACAGCCGAGCAAGAAACGUUCAACACAUCCCACAGGAGAGAGGCAGGGUGACGCCUUUCCUCGUUUCCUUCUUGAAUGGACGGAGAUUCGACAUCAGACCUCACUGCAGCACACGUCCAGAGAGGGAGUGACGCAUAUGGACAACAAGAAACUCCCUUAAACACAUAUGCCUACAUGGACGGAAGGAGAGUAGAACGAGAGCCAAAAGUUGAGGAACGCACACAGGCGUGCUGAGGAUGCGCAGAAGACGCUCCAUCUUUUAACUCGGGCUAGAGGAGACCCACAGAAAGACGAGGUACACGGUUGUUUCGAAUAUGCGUGCGAGAGAGACGCUCCAAGAGACGGUGCAUCCAGGAAGUCUCCACUGGCACAAAGGCUGCUAGUUACACAGCAUAACAGCUGUCUGUUUUUAUCGACCUAAGUUGCACGUUUUUCUGCAGCUGGACACAGUCCAGGGUUUCGGCGUCUCGGGAGACGUACAGAUGUCACGUAUUUGAAAGUCGGCUCGGCGGGUUCCUCUGUGUUUGUCCCUUGGGCAGCGACAAGGUUGAGGGAGAGGACGAGGAAGCAAAGAAGAAGGCUCGCGCACGGCUGCACGAGGCUCCCUCGAGGCGACCUUGGACGCCGUGAAGUCGCGAGAGAGGAGCGACUUCUGCCUUGCUCCUCCUGUUGGGGGGAAACGGCCAACGCGGUGAGAGAGGCCAUCGUCGAGCAGUGAAUCGAAGCGCACGGGGCGAAAGAGCAGAGACGCCGAGAAGGACAAAUGCGCGAAACACAGAGAGAGGGAUGCCGGCGGCUGAAAGACAACGAAGAGACGCAGCGGAUGCGGGACCGGAAAACAAAUGUGAAGACGGAGAAAGAAGGUGAGCAGCCGGAGACGACGGCGUGGCAAGAGACUGCGGUAACGGGAGCGACAAGACAAGCGAGAGCGAAGAGCCGAUGGCGACGAAAACGGAAUCCGAGUUGCGUCUGUUUAUCUCGGUUCUUCCCUAUCAGACGAGGACUCGCGAGGACGAACAAAAGACGCGCAAAAAGAAAGAGACUUGCAGAAGAGGAACCAGCGAAGGACGGGAGAAAAGAACGAGGUUCAGUGAAGACGAGCUGUCGGAGAUUAACCUUUUCAGUAACACCAGGGGAACCAGGCUAAAGAGGGAGGCGCAGCGGGCGCAUUUACGAGUUCAACGAAGGAGGAGAAGGACGAGGAAAGAGAUAGAGAGAAGAUUCACGUGAGGCAGGCGCGGAGACUGGGGGCUGAGGGAGGUGUACGUGCUGAAAAGGAUCUGCAAAGUGUUUUUUCACGGUCGGGAGAGGGGCGGCAAGCGCUGGUUUUUAAGAGAGAUGCGCGAGGGACUGUUUCCUCUCCAGGAAAAUGCUUUGUCUUCGCUCUCUGUCCCCGUUCUAGAGGGAGUAAGCCGUCUCUAUCUCACUGUGACAAAGGCAGACGAAGAGAGUCGCAAGUUUAAGGGCAGAGACUCCACCUAAAAACGGUUGGGGAAGCGGAAAGGCCGAACGGAAAAGAACGCGUUUCACAUGCGCGUGUUUGUUCUCUCGCCUCCAAGAGCGGGUAAAACUGCUGGCAGGUGUGCCUGUGUAUCCCAGGAGAAAAACGCAGUCCGUGUCCAUUCGCUUUCUCCUCCUCCUUUUUUCCCGCUUGGGAGGACGUCGCGCGGAGCAGGUAGCUGAGGAUCAUCGCUUCAGCGUUUCCUAGUUGAAUUCACGUGCUCGCGUGGGCCUUUGUCUCUCCUGUCCUUUCCAGCGCAUUUCCCUGCGACGUUCUCGCCAUACACAAUCCCCGUUCUCAUUCCCCUUUUCACGGAAAACCAAGUCUUUCCUCGAUCCUCUCUUGCGAUGGAACGACGAACUUUGACGUCUCUUUCGUGCCAACGCUGAGUGCUGCCCUCACGGCGGUAAACCCC